rnacentral:rRNA from 1 species
GUCGUGCCUGCUCACUGAUGAUUAAAGAGCCGCGGUAUAUUGACCGUGCAAAGGUAGCAUAAUCAUUAGUUUUUUAAUUGACAACUGGUAUGAAUGGUUUGACGUAAUAACAACUGUUUCUUUAUUAUUUAUUGAAUUUUACAUUUAAGUUAAAAGGCUUAAAUGUUGAUAGGGGACGAGAAGACCCUAUAGAUUUUUAUAUUUUGUUUUAUAAGAUGUUAUUGGAUGUUUUUUUGUUUUUUAAGAUUAAAUAUUUUGUUGGGGUGACUAGGGAAAUAAUAAACUUCUCUUGUAUUAACAUUGUUGAAUGAUUUUUUGAUCCUUUAUUAAUGAAUUAAGAUUAAAAUACCUUAGGGAUAACAGCGUUAUUUUAUUUGAGAGUUCUUAUCGAUAAUGAAGAUUGCGACCUCGAUGUUGGAUUAAAAUUAAGUUUUGGUGUAGAAGUUGAUUAUUUUGGUCUGUUCGAC